rnacentral:rRNA from 1 species
ACGGAAGGCAGCAGUGGGGGAUAUUGCGCAAUGGGGGAAACCCUGACGCAGCAACGCCGCGUGAAGGAAGAAGGUUUUCGGAUUGUAAACUUCUUUGAUCAGGGACGAAAUUUUGACGGUACCUGAAGAACAAGUCACGGCUAACUACGUGCCAGCAGCCGCGGUAAUACGUAGGUGACAAGCGUUAUCCGGAUUUACUGGGUGUAAAGGGCGUGUAGGCGGUUUGGCAAGUCAGAAGUGAAAUUCCCGGGCUUAACUUGGGCGCUGCUACUGAAACUGCUUAACUUGAGUACUGGAGAGGAUAGUGGAAUUCCUAGUGUAGCGGUAAAAUGCGCAGAUAUUAGGAGGAACACCGGUGGCGAAGGCGGCUAUCUGGACAGUAACUGACGCUGAGGCGCGAAAGCACGGGGAGCAAACAGGAUUAGAUACCCUGGUA